AUACAUACCUGGACGGGGUCAAUGGGCGAUCAAUAAGGCCCAUGGCCUAGGCUGGUGGCCCCCAUUGCACGCUCCGGAGGUGCACCCGCCUAACAUCUCCCAUUAGUGGAGACUGUACGUCGUAAUUUGUGGCAGUGGGGGCCUGUGUUCGCGCGGCCCCUAU